rnacentral:rRNA from 1 species
UGGGGAAUAUUGCGCAAUGGGGGGAACCCUGACGCAGCCAUGCCGCGUGAAUGAAGAAGGCCUUCGGGUUGUAAAGUUCUUUCGGUAUUGAGGAAGGUUGAUGUGUUAAUAGCACAUCAAAUUGACGUUAAAUACAGAAGAAGCACCGGCUAACUCCGUGCCAGCAGCCGCGGUAAUACGGAGGGUGCGAGCGCUAAUCGGAAUAACUGGGCGUAAAGGGCACGCAGGCGGUUAUUUAAGUGAGGUGUGAAAGCCCCGGGCUUAACCUGGGAAUUGCAUUUCAGACUGGGUAACUAGAGUACUUUAGGGAGGGGUAGAAUUCCACGUGUAGCGGUGAAAUGCGUAGAGAUGUGGAGGAAUACCGAAGGCGAAGGCAGCCCCUUGGGAAUGUACUGACGCUCAUGUGCGAAAGCGUGGGGAGCAAACAGGAUUAGAUACCCUGGUAGUCCACGCUGUAAACGCUGUCGAUUUGGGGGUUGGGGUUUAACUCUGGCGCCCGUAGCUAACGUGAUAAAUCGACCGCCUGGGGAGUACGGCCGCAAGGUUA